GACGAACGCUGGCGGCGUGCUUAACACAUGCAAGUCGAACGCUGAAGCUCAGCUUUUGUUGGGUGGAUGAGUGGCGAACGGGUGAGUAACACGUGAGUAACCUACCUCCUUCUUUGGGAUAACGCCCGGAAACGGGUGCUAAUACUGGAUAUUCACUGGUCUUCGCAUGGGGGUUGGUGGAAAGGGUUGUUCUGGUGGGGGAUGGGCUCGCGGCCUAUCAGCUUGUUGGUGGGGUGAUGGCCUACCAAGGCUUUGACGGGUAGCCGGCCUGAGAGGGUGACCGGUCACAUUGGGACUGAGAUACGGCCCAGACUCCUACGGGAGGCAGCAGUGGGGAAUAUUGCACAAUGGGCGCAAGCCUGAUGCAGCGACGCCGCGUGAGGGAUGGAGGCCUUCGGGUUGUGAACCUCUUUCGCUCAUGGUCAAGCCGCAACAAUGGUUGUGGUGAGGGUAGUGGGUAAAGAAGCGCCGGCUAACUACGUG
rnacentral:rRNA from 1 species